AGAAUUCCAAGAUGUCUAUAAUUGUAGCCACCAGCAGACAUGGAUAAGUGAGUUCCUGAAAGGAAAGCUGGUGAUGGAUGGGAUUGACAGACUAGAGAAAUAAAUUGGUCGCAUCCUGGGACGGAAUGGCGACUCCCUCUCCUCGAGACGAGGAAGGGAGCUGACGGUAGAUGUGCAAAAAGGUCACCGGCUGCCACCAUGGGAGACGUUCCAGUGGAAAUUUAGGGAACCUCGGGAUGCCAGGAGGAAUCCCACUAGAGGACAGAACUCCUCAAGACAAGGAAGGACUGAAGUUCCAAGACCUCUCACUCUCUGCAUAUUGAUUGUCCAGCUGUGUAUCUCUUUGUUAGUCCCCACCUACUGCUGGAAGAUGUUUCUCUGAUGGGAUUUGAGCCAUGCAGUGAUCUACACAUCCCAAAGGUAGGUAAAUACAUCACUUAUUUUAAAGAUUGUCCCACAUCUUUCUUUGAUCUAUGUGUUUAUUAGACGGGAAAACAAAUUACCUAAUCUAUUUAAAAAUAUUUUAACCAGGAUCUAGGGGAAAUGGUUCAGGGGUAAGCACAAUUUGAGAAUAAGUGCCCCCAAUGGAGAGAACUCAGGAGAGCUGUCAGGCUGACCAA